GCCCCCGUAGCUCAGCUGGAUAGAGCGGUCCCCUCCUAAGGGACAGGCCACACGUUCGAAUCGUGUCGGGGGCACCA
rnacentral:tRNA from 1 species